UGGGGAAUUUUGCACAAUGGGGGAAACCCUGAUGCAGCGACGCCGCGUGAUUUAGAAGGCCUUCGGGUUGUAAAAAUCUUUUCUAUGGGAAGAAAAUGACAGUACCAUAGGAAUAAGGACCGGCUAAUUACGUGCCAGCAGCCGCGGUAAUACGUAAGGUCCGAGCGUUGUCCGGAAUCAUUGGGCGUAAAGGGUACGUAGGCGGGUAAGCAAGUUAGAAGUGAAAUCCUGUAGCUCAACUACAGUAAGCUUUUAAAACUGCUCAUCUUGAGAUAUUGAAGGGAAAGUGGAAUUCCUAGUGUGACGAUGAAAUGCGCAGAAAUUAGGAGGACUACCGGUGGCGAAGGCGACUUUCUGGCCAUAAUCUGACGCUGAGGUACGAAAGCGUGGGUAGCAAACAGG
rnacentral:rRNA from 1 species